rnacentral:tRNA from 1 species
GUGGCGGGUACUGGCAGGUAUCGGUAGACGACGGAGGAGACGGCCAACAAUCCGUCAGGUCGUGGGUUCGAACCCCACCCGCCCCA